UACGUAGGGUGCAGGCGUUAAUCGGAAUUACUGGGCGUAAAGCGUGCGCAGGCGGUUUGCUAAGACAGGUGUGAAAUCCCCGGGCUUAGCCUGGGAACUGCGCUUGUUACUGGCAGGCUUGAGUGUGGCAGAGGGGGGUGGAAUUCCACGUGUAGCAGUGAAAUGCGUAGAGAUGUGGAGGAACACCGAUGGCGAAGGCAGCCCCCUGGGCUAACACUGACGCUCAUGCACGAAAGCGUGGGGAGCAAACAGG
rnacentral:rRNA from 1 species